rnacentral:rRNA from 1 species
GACAGAGGGUGCAAACGUUGCUCGGAAUCACUGGGCGUAAAGGGCGUGUAGGCGGGUAGAUAAGGCGGGCGUGAAAUCCCUAGGCUCAACCUAGGAACUGCACUCGAAACUGUUUAUCUUGAGUGCCGGAGAGGAAAGCGGAAUUCCUGGUGUAGAGGUGAAAUUCGUAGAUAUCAGGAGGAACACCAGUGGCGAAGGCGGCUUUCUGGACGGUAACUGACGCUGAGACGCGAAAGCGUGGGGAGCAAACAGG